GGGUUGUGAGGUUAAGCGACUAAGCGUACACGGUGGAUGCCUAGGCAAUCAGAGGCGAUGAAGGA
rnacentral:rRNA from 1 species